UGCGAUUUCAUUGCAUAGUCUUUAUUUUCAAAAACAGCUUCACAUGUAUGAACACAUCCCUGCUAUCCCGCACAAUUGACGCGUUUCGAAGUUUACGUUCUUAAUUAUUAUUAUUAUU